UUGCUUUGGCAGCACAUGUACUAAAAUUGGAAUGAUACAGAGGUUGCCACAACCUCGGUGCAAGGAUGACAUGCAAAUUCUUGAAGUGUUACAAAUCCUU
ensembl:snRNA U6 U6 spliceosomal RNA